AACGAACGCUGGCGGCGUGGAUAAGACAUGCAAGUCGAACGGAACUUACGGGUAGCAAUACUUUGUAAGUUUAGUGGCGAACGGGUGCGUAACACGUGAGCAAUCUGCCGGGAAGUGGGGGAUAGCUCGCCGAAAGGCGAAUUAAUACCGCAUGUGGCCAGGGAGGACAUCCUUCCGAAGCCAAAGCCGCAAGACGCUUCCUGAUGAGCUCGCGGCCUAUCAGCUAGGUGGUGAGGUAAUGGCUCACCAAGGCUAUGACGGGUAGCUGGUCUGAGAGGACGACCAGCCACACUGGAACUGAGACACGGUCCAGACACCUACGGGUGGCAGCAGUCGAGAAUUUUUCACAAUGGGGGAAACCCUGAUGGAGCGACGCCGCGUGGAGGAUGAAGGCGUUUUCGUCGUAAACUCCUGUCAUGCGGGAACAAGAAAGUGAUAGUACCGCAAGAGGAAGAGACGGCUAACUCUGUGCCAGCCGCCGCCGUAAAAC
rnacentral:rRNA from 1 species